ensembl:lncRNA
GCCACGAAAGCUGCUGGCCAGGCCAGACACAGACUGCUCACGCUCCGCCAGGAACUGGGCAUCCUUUGUGCAGAGCGAGAUUUCCAUUUCCACUGAUACGCAAAGCGAAAGCCGGGCAAACCACAGGAUCAGGUCCGGAGUAGCUUCCAGUGGGAGAUGUGUGCGCUUGACGCUCAGUGCCAUGGACAGUCACCAAGGACGACUGGGAGGACAUGAGCGCAGACAGAACGCCGGGAGUGAGAUGAGCAAACACUGGGCUGCUAACAAGAGCCUGAGGGCUCAGUUAGAUGAAAGAGAUCAGACGCUGAAGGAGCUGCACCAGAGGGUUGGUGUUUCAGAGAGGGAUGUGACGAUGAAGAGGCAGCUGGUGGAGGAUCUCAGAUGCAGACUAUAGAUCUGCCAGAACACUGAGACGAGCCACAGAUCAGCGGCUGAAGACUUGGAGAAGAAAGAAGGUCCUGCUCCGACAACAGCCGCUCUACUAGCAACCUGGAAUUAAUUAUUCUCUCUGCCGUUAUUGAUUGUGUCACUCAUCCACAGUCUGAACGUCCUAGGCUUCUACGUUUCUCUGUCUGUUUAAAAAUAUCGAAGUAAUUGAAUUGCUUUUCUUUUUUUAGAUGGAAUCUCUCACUGAUGAGGCAGCUUACCGAAGAGAAGAUUGACAGAUGCCACUGCAGAACAAAACCAGCAUGAGGCAACCAGCCAAAAACUCAAAGAAGAGCUUCAGAGAAAGGUUCAAGAGCAUCUGUACAUCACUCAGGAAUCGUAAUGCUUUUUUUGGGCUUGUCCUGCGUUGUAUUGCAGGAUGGCUUUUUCUUUCUCUUUCUUUAUUCACCUAAUUACCAUCAGUCUCGUUUGAUGUUUGGCGCCAAAUGCCAUACUUUGCCCCAGUUUCAUCGUUCAGUUCAUUCUAUCCGUUAUAUACUAUCUCCUAAUUGGUGAAACGCUUGUUAAGUGUGUUUAUUCCUCAGGAGCAGAGAAUGGCCGUCCUAGUCAUCACUGGGAAUGUAACGAUUCACUCAACUCGAUUUAUUUUUCUUUUUUUACAAAAUUAGAUUUAAGACAAAUUAUAAAUUAAAUGUGUCCUUUUAUUAUUGCUUGGACAAAAUGCUGCAUGUUUCUUUGUGAAAUUGAAAUGUAACACUAUAAUAAUAUACUAAAAUAGCACUUAUCACUGUUCUUUUGUUGGUUUUGAUUGCUUCUAUUGUCCUCAUUUGUAAGUCGCUUUGGGUUGAAGCAUCUGCUAAAUGACUAAAUCUAAAUAUAAUGUAAAUGUAAAUAACAAAACUAAAUUGAAAUUUAAAAAUAAGUAACACAAAUAAAAGAAAUCUUGGUCUGUGCUCUUUCCAUUUAAAAUGAGAGGCAACCACUGCAUUUUAAUCAUGAGCAGUUUUUAAUCUAAAUUAGAUUGUAUAACUUUAAAUUUAAAGCAAAAACAGAAUGGUUUGACUUCAGUUUUGUGAAACUAUACAUAAAAAAUAUUUGCAUGAAGCAGAAACUGAAACAGCAGAUGAGCUGAACGAGACGCAGAUUCACUCUCUGCCAGCAG